CCCCACAAUGACCCUAUAGCCAUGCUAUGAUGACCCUACAGUGACCCCAUAGCCGUGCCCCGAUGACCCUAUGAUGACCCCAUAGCCGUGCCAUGAUGACCCCACAAUGACCCUAUAGCCAUGCUAUGAUGACCCUACAAUGACCCCAUACCAUGCCCCGAUGACCCUACAGUGCCCCCAUACCCGUGCCCCAAUGACCCUACAAUGACCCCAUAGCCGUGCCCCGAUGACCCUACGAUGACCCCAUACCCGUGCCCCGAUGACCCUACGAUGACCCCAUACCAUGCCCCGAUGACCCUACAAUGACCCCAUACCCGUGCCCCGAUGACCCUAUGAUGACCCCAUAUCCGUGCCCUGAUGACCCUACAAUGACCCCAUACCCGUGCCCCGAUGACCCUACAGUGACCCCAUAGCCAUGCCAUGAUGACCCUACAAUGACCCCAUAUCCGUGCCCCGAUGACCCUACAGUGACCCCAUAUCCGUGCCCCGAUGACCCUAUGAUGACCCCAUAGCCGUGCCAUGAUGACCCCACAAUGACCCUAUAGCCAUGCUAUGAUGACCCUACAAUGACCCCAUACCAUGCCCCGAUGACCCUACAAUGACCCCAUACCCGUGCCCCGAUGACCCUACAGUGCCCCCAUAUCCGUGCCCCGAUGACCCUACAAUGACCCCAUAUCCGUGCCCCGAUGACCCUAUGAUGACCCCAUAGCCAUGCCAUGAUGACCCUACAAUGACCCCAUACCCAUGCCCCGAUGACCCUACAAUGACCCCAUACCCAUGCCUCGAUGACCCUACAGUGCCCCCAUAGCCGUGCCAUGAUGACCCUACAGUGACCCCAUACCCGUGCCCCGAUGACCCUAUGAUGACCCCAUAGCCGUGUCAUGAUGACCCUACAAUGACCCUAUGGCUGUGCCCCGAUGACCCUACAGUGACCCCAUACCCAUGCCCCGAUGACCCUACAGUGACCCCAUAUCCGUGCCCCGAUGACCCUACAGUGACCCCAUAGCCGUGCCAUGAUGACCCUACAGUGACCCCAUACCCGUGCCAUGAUGACCCUAUGAUGACCCCAUAGCCGUGCCAUGAUGACCCCACAAUGACCCUAUAGCCAUGCUAUGAUGACCCUACAAUGACCCCAUACCUGUGCCCCAAUGACCCUACAGUGACCCCAUAUCCGUGCCCCGAUGACCCUACAAUGACCCCAUACCCAUGCCCCGAUGACCCUACAGUGCCCCCAUAGCCGUGCCCCGAUGACCCUACGAUGACCCCAUACCCGUGCCCCGAUGACCCUACAAUGACCCCAUAUCCGUGCCCCGAUGACCCUACAGUGACCCCAUACCCGUGCCAUGAUGACCCUACAAUGACCCCAUAGCCGUGCCACAAUGACCCUACAAUGACCCCAUGGCCGUGCC
ensembl:lncRNA